GACGAACGCUGGCGGCGUGCUUAACACAUGCAAGUCGAACGGUAAGGCCCUUCGGGGUACACGAGUGGCGAACGGGUGAGUAACACGUGGGUGAUCUGCCCUGCACUUCGGGAUAAGCCUGGGAAACUGGGUCUAAUACCGGAUAGGACCAUGGACUUCACGGUUUGUGGUGGAAAGCUUUUGCGGUGUGGGAUGGGCCCCGCGGCCUAUCAGCUUGUUGGUGGGGGUAAUGGCCCUACCAAGGCGACGACGGGUAGCCCGGCCUGAGAGGGUGUCCGGCCACACUGGGACUGAGAUACGGCCCAGACUCCUACGGGAGGCAGCAGUGGGGAAUAUUGCACAAUGGGCGCAAGCCUGAUGCAGCGACGCCGCGUGAGGGAUGACGGCCU
rnacentral:rRNA from 1 species